rnacentral:sRNA from 1 species
GCCGGGCGCGGAGGCUCACGCCUGUAAUCCAACACUUUGGGAGGCCGAGGCAGGUGGAUCAUCUGAGGUCAGGGGUUCAAGACCAGCCUGACCAACAUGGUGAAACCUUGUCUCUACUAAAAAUACAAAAACGACGCCGGGUGCGGUGGUUCACGCCUGCAAUCCCAGCACUUUGGGAGGCCGAGGUGGGUGGAUCACGAGGUCAGGAGUUAGAGACCAGCCUGACCAACAUGGUGAAACCUUGCCUCU